rnacentral:misc_RNA from 1 species
GAUGAAGAACGUAGCGAAAUGCGAUAAGUAAUGUGAAUUGCAGAAUUCAGUGAAUCAUCGAAUCUUUGAACGCACAUUGCGCCCGCCAGUAUUCUGGCGGGCAUGCCUGUCCGAGCGUCAUUUCAACCAUCAAGCCCCGGGCUUGUGUUGGGGACCUGCGUCCGACGCAGGCCCUGAAAACCAGUGGCGGGCUCGCUGUCCACACCGAGCGUAGUAACUAACCUCGCUAUGGAGUGGCGCGGGCGCCUGCCGUAAAACCCCCAAUUUCACAAGGUUGACCUCGGAUCAGGUAGGAAUACCCGCUGAACUUAAGCAUAUCAAAGCGGAGGA